rnacentral:misc_RNA from 1 species
UCCGGUUUGUCACCGGCAGUCACCUUAGAGUGCCCAACUGAAUGCUGGCAACUAAGAUCAAGGGUUGCGCUCGUUGCGGGACUUAACCCAACAUUUCACAACACGAGCUGACGACAGCCAUGCAGCACCUCUCACUACAUUCCCUUGCGGGCACCCCGUCCAUUACAACGGGUUCGUAGGAGUUCAAGCCUAGGUAAGGUUCUGCGCGUUGCUUCGAAUUAAACCACAUGCUCCACCGCUUGUGCGGGCCCCCGUCAAUUCCUUUGAGUUUCAGCCUUGCGGCCGUACUCCCCAGGCGGGGUGCUUAACGCGUUAGCUGCGACGCUGAAAGGGUCGCUCCCCCCAGCAUCUAGCACCCAUCGUUUACGGCGUGGACUAC